rnacentral:rRNA from 11 species
GACUCUGCCACAGGAAGGAGAAGUCGUAACAAGGUUUCCG